AACGAACGCUGGCGGCGUGCUUAACACAUGCAAGUCGAACGCGAAAGGGACUUCGGUCCUGAGUAAAGUGGCGCACGGGUGAGUAACGCGUAGAUAACCUGUCUUUAUGUCUGGAAUAAUACGCCGAAAGGGGUACUAAUACCGGAUAUUUUUGCAUUGCACAAGUGAUGUAAGCAAAGGUGGCCUCUGGCAUAAGCUACUGCAUAAAGAGGGGUCUGCGUACCAUUAGCUAGUAGGUGGGGUAAAGGCCUACCUAGGCUACGAUGGUUAGCGGGUCUGAGAGGAUGAUCCGCCACACUGGCACUGGAACACGGGCCAGACUCCUACGGGAGGCAGCAGUGGGGAAUAUUGGGCAAUGGGCGCAAGCCUGACCCAGCCAUGCCGCGUGAGUGACGAAGGCCUUAGGGUUGUAAACCUCUGUUGUGGGGAAGAAGCGAGUGACGGUACCUCACGAGGAAGCCCCGGCAAACUACGUG
rnacentral:rRNA from 1 species